UUGCUGGUUCAGGAUUUAUGGUGUUUGACAGAAUAUUUUGCCAACUCCAAUAUCUUCAGCCUGCGAUUGAGCCAUGAGAUCUUUAAUAUUUGCCUGAGUCACUGCAUCACAUCUUGGAUUGAAGGAGCACCGAUAUACAGCAAUCCCUUCUUUUUGCAGCUGAAUUAUGAAUGUUACCAGUUGAGUCAAGAAAGCACUGGCAGGAGUGAAUACCAUAACAAUGAUAAUUUGUAUUUAUCGAAGUCUUUUAUACUGUCUUGUGGGGGCAUGUUUGACACCAUAAGACAGUGAAGGUGUGACAGUGGUACAAUGGAAAUCUCAGUGGCUUAGUAAUAUGGCUGGGGAUAUGGCUUCAAAUCCCACCAUGUCAGAUGGUAAAGUUUGAAUAAAGUUAAUAAAUAAUCUGGAAUAAACCCCUAACCUAAUGAUGAUCUAAUGUCAAUUGUUGUAACAACACACCUGGUUCACUAAUGUCCUUUAAAAACAGAAUUCUGCCAUCCAACUCCAGGCCUAUUGCAAUGUGGUUAACUUUAACUACUCUCUGGGCAAUUAGGGAUGGUCAAGAAAUGAUGAUCCGGCCAGUGACACGUACACCCUUGAUACAAAUUUUUUUAAAAUGUCUUCAUUUAAAGAGCAUCUUAAAGGAGCAAAACAAAAUUUGAGGCAUGGGUAUUUCCAAAACCUAGGUCCUUGACAGCUGAAUAUAUGACCACUCAUGGUGGAGCAGUUAGAAUAUAGGUGAUUAAGGAGAGCAGAUAUCUUAAAGGCUUUUAUGAGAGGAGGAAAUUAAAGGAUGAGGAGGAGGGAGGUUUAACAAAAAAUACAAGUGGAGGUAGAUUAGUACUACAAACAAAGGGAAUGAUAUCGAAAACUGAUUGCAGCAUCGUUACUGACAGUGAAGUCCACCACAAUAAUACAUGUAAUGAAUUAGUUUUAUUUUGAAGACCCAAGCAAUGGACAACAGGAGUGGUUGUUAGCAGUGAAAUUAAGUAAUAAAACAAUCACCUCAUCCAGCAUAUGCAUGAGGUGAUUUCUAAUCUUCUGUACAAAUUAGUUCUGGAACAAAAUAAAUCAAUAAUGUAUUUCCCAUUUGUAUUGUAGCGGUAAUUUGUCGGUGUUGAUUCGAUGAAUGUAUUAAAAUUGCCAAGUGCUAAUGUUCCUUGCCUCUUAUCUCUUUGAACUGUCUGUUGAAUGUGAAAAUGAUAUGCUGCAUCUUUUCAGACCUUCUUCAUUUACAAAAGCAAUAUGUAGUACUUCUGCGAUUAGAUUUUAUGUUACGCAUUCUUCACCAAAGCUGUAUGGAUAUAUUUGAAAGACAAUAAAUUCCUCCUACCUUA